UCAGGAUGAACGCUAGCGGGAGGCCUAACACAUGCAAGCCGAGCGGUAGAGUAUCUUCGGAUACUUGAGAGCGGCGCACGGGUGCGGAACACGUGUGCAACCUGCCUUUAUCUGGGGGAUAGCCUUUCGAAAGGAAGAUUAAUACCCCAUAAUAUAUUUGAUGGCAUCAUUAGAUAUUGAAAACUCCGGUGGAUAGAGAUGGGCACGCGCAAGAUUAGUUAGUUGGUGAGGUAACGGCUCACCAAGGCGAUGAUCUUUAGGGGGCCUGAGAGGGUGAUCCCCCACACUGGUACUGAGACACGGACCAGACUCCUACGGGAGGCAGCAGUGAGGAAUAUUGGACAAUGGGUUAGCGCCUGAUCCAGCCAUCCCGCGUGAAGGACGACGGCCCUAUGGGUUGUAAACUUCUUUUGUAUAGGGAUAAACCUACUCUCGUGAGAGUAGCUGAAGGUACUAUACGAAUAAGCACCGGCUAACUCCGUGCCAGCAGCCGCGGUAAUACGGAGGGUGCAAGCGUUAUCCGGAUUUAUUGGGUUUAAAGGGUCCGUAGGCGGAUCUGUAAGUCAGUGGUGAAAUCUCAUAGCUUAACUAUGAAACUGCCAUUGAUACUGCAGGUCUUGAGUAAAUUUGAAGUGGCUGGAAUAAGUAGUGUAGCGGUGAAAUGCAUAGAUAUUACUUAGAACACCAAUUGCGAAGGCAGGUCACUAAGAUUUAAC
rnacentral:rRNA from 1 species